GAUGAACGCUAGCGGGAGGCUUAACACAUGCAAGUCGAGGGGUAAAUGGUAGCAAUACUAUGAGACCGGCGGACGGGUGCGUAACGCGUAUGCAACAUACCUUGUGCAGGGGGAUAGCCCGUGGAAACGCGGAUUAAUAUUCCAUAGUCCAGCUAUAUCGCAUGGUAUAGUUGGUAAAGAUUUAUCGGCACAAGUUUGGCAUGCGUCUGAUUAGCUUGUUGGUAGGGUAACGGCCUACCAAGGCUACGAUCAGUAGGGGUUCUGAGAGGAUUAACCCCCACACUGGUACUGAGACACGGACCAGACUCCUACGGGAGGCAGCAGUGAGGAAUAUUGGUCAAUGGGCGGAAGCCUGAACCAGCCAUCCCGCGUGAAGGAAGACAGCCUUACGGGUUGUAAACUUCUUUCUGUCAGAAGAAUAAGCUUGUCGAGACGAGUGAUGCCGGUAUGACAGGAAUAAGCAUCGGCUAACUCCGUGCCAGCAGCCGCGGUAAA
rnacentral:rRNA from 1 species